rnacentral:rRNA from 1 species
UACGUAGGGACCAGGCGUUGUCCGGAAUCAUUGGGCGUAAAGCGCGCGUAGGUGGCUUCGUAAGUCCGUUGUGAAAGUCAAAGGCUCAACCUUUGAAAGCCGAUGGAUACUGCGGAGCUAGAGUACGGAAGAGGCGAGUGGAAUUCCUGGUGUAGCGGUGGAAUGCGCAGAUAUCAGGAGGAACACCAAUAGCGAAGGCGGCUCUCUGGAACGCAACUGACGCUGAGACGCGGAAAGCGUGGGGAGCAAACAGG